rnacentral:rRNA from 1 species
CGGCGGACGGGUGAGUAACACGUGGAUAACCUACCUAUAAGACUGGGAUAACUUCGGGAAACCGGAGCUAAUACCGGAUAAUAUAUUGAACCGCAUGGUUCAAUGGUGAAAGACGGUUUUGCUGUCACUUAUAGAUGGAUCCGCGCCGCAUUAGCUAGUUGGUAAGGUAACGGCUUACCAAGGCAACGAUGCGUAGCCGACCUGAGAGGGUGAUCGGCCACACUGGAACUGAGACACGGUCCAGACUCCUACGGGAGGCAGCAGAG